rnacentral:lncRNA from 1 species
UCUCUUGUUAGAGCCCUCUUGCCACCCUGCCUUAAUGCAAAUGCCUGUCUGGACCCAAAUGCAAAGACCCGUCUCCAGGUCUACCCUGACCGAGGGUGACCUCUUUGCACAGAGCCCAGUUGAUUCUCAGUUAUCGAUAAAGUCUCUCUGAGGCAAGGCUUUUUGUUGACUUCCACCUCUACCCCGAGUUUGGGAGCCAAAGGUGCUCAUCAAACCCCAACUCUCUGCUGCCCUCCACAGGCCAUUGACCUCAUUGCCUUUGCCAUUUCGUCUGGUUAACUCUGGCUCCCAGGCGAUACAAAGGUCUUAUAGCCUGAGAUGGAUCAUGUAUUUUUGUGCCCAGUGCUUUUGUGUGUGUGGUCAUUCAUUUCUGUUCAGCUUGUGUGUGGAUAGGUUCUUUCUUCUUGACUUACUUGCAGUUCUUAUAGGUACAUUCUGGGUUUUCUUCCUUCCACACCCACCAUCUUUUCUCCCCCUUCUACUUAAAAUAGCAGCACCAUGAAAUACAAGUCAGUUAUUUUGGUAAAGAUAGUAUGGUUUAACUGAAAGCUUGUGAUUUUUGGAGUAAGAAAGAUCUGAGUUUUAAUCCGGACUCUACCAAUGACUGGCUCUAUGAACUUGGGCAAUAUUUUUCUGUUUUGUUCCUCUCUAAAGAGGGCAUUAUGUAAUAAUAUGCAAGCAAAACUGACUCAUAGAUAAUGCUUAAUCCUGGGUUUUCCCCCUCUUCUUCGUGAAGUCUUUUCACUUUGAGUAAGGUCGCCAGUCUUGCUAUAGAAAUUAGCAGUCACUGUGUGGGAGACGUUUAUCAUCUCCUUCCCCCACCCUCCCCCGUCUUUGUUGUCUUCAGACUAUGGCCUCUUAGGUUCAGGAGAGAGAAUACACAUUGGGCAGAUGUUUCAUCAGCAAGCCCAGCACUUUCUCCGAGCACCGACUGAUGGAUCUUACUUGACCUGCCAGCUCAGGAACCAUCCUUUGACUGUGAGCCUUAACCCUCAUGAAAUGUUACAUGAAAACUAGACAGACUGCUCUGUCCUGCUGAACAAAACUGGGUCUGGAGGAGCUCCCUGGAAGGCUAGGGGCUAGUUUUUCAGCAUAAGAGCCACAUGUGAUUCUAUUAGUGACCUCAGUCCAGGGCAGGACCUUAUCCCCCUGACCAGCUGUUGAAUUUUCACUGCCUCAGAAAUUUUAUGGACCUUAUCAUGCAAUCAUCAGAAGAGCCUUGUGUGUUAGGCUCUUGUUCCCAUUUUAUAGAUGAGGCAACCGAGGCUUGGAGAAAUGGAAGUUACUUUCUGAAGGUUAUAUAGCUAGCCAAGGUCAAAGCUGGGAUUUGAACCAAGGUCUGACCAGACACAAAGUAUUGUGUUCCACUAUGUCUAAAAACCAGGGAUUCUGAGAGCCAGCCCGCGGGGAGGGGUAGCCUGGAGGGGUACCCCUGCACGGGUAUCUUCACGGGGCUCUUCACAGAGUCCCGGUGUUCCCACCUCAUCGCUCGCUGGGGGCUCUUAAGGGGUAAGUGGAAGGCCAUUUUUAACUAUAAUCCUGUACGAUACGAAUGUCACAUCAGAGCCUUUGUCUGUUGCUGAUCCAGUGUUGAUUGAUAGGUUACAUUUUUAAAAAUUGCAUCAGUAAUUCAUGCUUUAUUACUCCUGAAUUAGCGUAAUGGUUCAAAUCAUCUUGUUGUAAUUCAGCAUAAUUAUCUAUAAUUAAAAAUAAAUUCCUGUAGGGUGAGAAUACGAAUUCCUCUCCAAAUCUCUUUAUUUCAACUGUGCCUAUCAGCCGUUACCCCGCUUUCACCCAGCAACUCUGGGCGCUUAUUGGGGAACUGACCUUGCUCUGCCUCAUGAGUUCACACUUUCCAGACCAUCGCUUCAUCUUCUCUCUUUGGGGUCAGCGUCUCUCCCAGGAUUUUGUGUUAGUAAAUGUUCUCUAAGUUAUUGGCUUUGGGGAGUUCCCUUUGCGACUUAGCAGUAAACGAACCUGACUGGGAUCCAUGAAGAUGCAGGUUAGAUCCUUGGCCUCACUCAGUGGGUUAAGGUUGUGGCGUUCCUGUGAGCUGUGGUGUAGGUUGCAGGUGGGGCUUGGAUCCUGAGUUUCUGUGGCUGUGGUGUGAUCCAGCAGCUGUACCUCUGAUUUGAUCCCUAGCCUGUGAACUUCCAGAUGCCAAGGGUGCGACCCUAAAAGAGAAAAAAAAAAAAAAAAGUUAUUGGCUUUUGUUUGUGGUUUAGUUCAUGUGCAGAUUCUGAUGGAAGCCAGGAAGCACAUUCAGGACAAAAACUCACAGGCACCUAUGCACAGAUGGUGUAUGGAAUUUCAGGAGAAUCAAGGAUCCCCUGGGUCCCAGUUUCUCCAAUUGGGGUCCCCAGACCAGCAGCAGCAGCAUUCCUGGGAACUUGUUAGAGAGACAGAUCCUUUGGCCCACUGAAUCGGAAACUCUGAGGGUGAGGACCAGUAAUCAGGGUGUUGACGAGCUUUCCAGGUGCUUCUGCUGAGCAGAAGUUAGAGGACCUUGGUAUGAGGUUAGAGCCGUGCCCUGGCUGGACGUCCUUCACCCACUGCAGUGACACUCUGCCCUCCGUGAGCAGAAAGGGCGAUGGAUCCUUGUGGCGCUGAUCUGGUUGUUCACUGGGUGUUACAGCUGCUCCACCUUUCAGCCCAAGGAUGCAUUUUCUCACAGGCAGCAAGGAGGAGGCUGGUGGCCCCACCACUGGACUUGCCAGGACACCCCAGGAAAAUGCUCCAGGUGCCUGCGAACAUUCGAGAAGAUCCAAGUGGUGAUAGGAAUGGUUCUCUCCCUGGGUACAUUCCUGUCUUUAGAUUGCUCCCCAGCCCCACCUGUCCUGGUCUAGGAGCCAUCCCUGCCCUUGAGGCCAGAGCAGGCAGAGGCCCAGUGUGAUUAGGGGGAAUACCGCCUGGUGCUUAGUUUCAAAAAGUCAACUUUUGGAGUCAGUCUUUGUUUUUCCAUGCAGGAAGUUUUACUUCUCGUCCAACUAACUCAGUCAUUAGACCUGACUUUUUUUUUUUUUUUAAACCAUUUUCCAUGUUUAAGUUUUAUUACGUGAGGAAAAAUUACUUAGAUUUGUAAAGAAGUUCUCUGCUAAUGCCUGAAUCUUUCUUGAGCCUGCGCUUCAACACACAGGGUUUAUUGCCUUAGUCAGACACAGUGAUUUGUCCUCUCUUAAUUCUUAUCUCUUCUCCACCUAAACCCACUCGCCGUCCUCCCAAAUGUAGUGCUUGGAAUUCAAAAACAUGAAGAAGAAGAAUUGGUAAAGUGAGCUUCUGUUAAUAGAUGAAUGCUGUCUCUGUGUGUGUUUCCUCUUUAGAAUGUGGGAAGAAGCUUUGGGGGGGAGGGGCAUGUGUUUUACAUUUUUCGUUUUAUUAUUUCAGCGCAUUAGAAUUUACCUUGAGUCUUACUAGAAGGGUACAUCUGAGAGUGUGGAGGUGGCAUUAUUCAUUACGUGGACCGGUUGGCUUCUCUGUGUUCAGUGGCCAAAUCCAUUAAAAAUUCAUGUUGUUAGUUUCAAGGAAGGACUGUAUUGGAGAAUGUGAAAAAAAAAAAAAAGAAUUAUGGGGAAAGCUGAGACACCUUCAGAAAGGGGAAUCAGCACACGCUUUACGUAAGCUCCUCUGUGCUGAAUAUUUUCUUCGCCUUUGGGAGACAGCCUUCUUCUCUUUCGUUCAGACCCAGACGGAGUGUCAUGACCCUUUCUCCCGAGACUGUCUUUGGUCCCACGUUCAUUGUACACGUACAGCAUCGUUCUUCCCUUCCCUCAUCAAGGCUCCUGUGUUUGUAACUGUUUAAAACCUUGUUUCUUGGGUGCUAGCCUGCCUGUCUUGUUGGGUCGCCCUGUUUCCUUUGUGUGGGUUUCCCGCAUGGUUUUGGAGAAGGGGGUGUUUCAGGAGCUGAGUGAAAGCUCAUGCCCACCAUUGAGGACGCCACCCAAAGUGUCUCCAUGAUGCCCUUUUCCUUCCUGCCCUGGCGGCUUCACUCUUCUGCCUGGAGGUCGCUCUCCCAUCGUUGCCUUCACAUCUCAGCACAAAUAUCUCUGCUCCUUGAAGACUUUUCCAUCCAUCUGACCACCUCCAUGCUGGGUGAGUUAUCUUUAUUUUCAUUUUCCUUGCAUUUCCAAGUUUCUAAAUGUCUCUUUCUGGUGAUGUGAUUAAAACCUGCCUUCCCUGCCUCCAGGAGGUCAGGGGCCUGGUCUGCUUGUCUAUAGUGAGUGCUCAAAAGUUUUUUUGGCUCAAUAAAUGCAUUUUCUCAUUGAAUUUUUAAAAUAAUGCAUAGAACUUGGACCUGACAAUUCUUAGGGAGCUCCAGCCCUUCUUUCUUCUGCUUUCCUACUUUAACCGUAAGGUGAGAGCAUCUGUCCUUUUGUUUCACUCUUCACCAAAUGCAGGAGCACCUGACUUUACCUGGCAAGUUCGAGAAGAGCAACGCUUGUCACGUAUGUCUGCCUGCACAUGAGCCAUGCACUGCUCAUGCCUGCUGGUCUGAAAGCUAACGUUGGGGUCUGUGGUCCUGGGCGAUUCCAGCUGGCUUAUUCAGAGGUGGGAAGAUCUGCCUAUUUCCAGCCUAAAGCCCACUUGGCACUGGUUUGAGCCACUUCUCCAGUCUGGCUUUAUCGAUCAACCUGACACUCUGACCUCCAUCUCUCUGACCUUUUACUUUUCUCAAUGAGUUGGUACUUAGGAUGCUAAAAGUUGGGUGUUAAUUUGGUUUUUCUAACCAAAAAUGGCAUCUUUCUUAGAUUUUCCCUUAACUGUUGUAACUGAUGCCCUUGUCCCCUGAGCUAACCAGGUAUGAAGGCCUUUUCUGUUUUCUGCAAAUCAUGGUUUAAGUUUUACUGUGUUUCUUUUUUCCACGGAAACUCCUUAUGAAAGUUUCAGUAACUCCUAAGGCCAUCCCAGAGUCACUGGCGGGAGGGGUCUGUUGCAUCUCGGUUGCCUAACAUUGUAAAUCAACUCUAAUAAAAAAUUUUUUUUCAAAAAAAAGAGAAGGGAGUUCCCAUUGUGGCUCAGUGGUAAACAAACCCGACUAGUAUCCAUGAGGAUGUGGGUUUGACCCCUGGCCUCGCUCAGUGGGUUAAGGAUCCAGCAUUGCCAUGAGCUGUGGUGUAGAUUGAAGACUGGACUCAGAUCCCACGUUGCUGUGGCUGUAGAGUAGGCCAGUGGCUGCAGCUCCAGUUCGACCCCUGGGCCUGGGAACCUCCAUAGCCUGCCUUUGUGGCCCUAAAAAGACAAAAGAC